rnacentral:rRNA from 1 species
UGAGGAAUAUUGCACAAUGGGCGAAAGCCUGAUGCAGCAACGCCGCGUGAGGGACGAAGGCCUUCGGGUUGUAAACCUCUUUUCUGGGGGAAGAGAUCAAGGACGGUACCUCAGGAAUAAGUCUCGGCUAACUACGUGCCAGCAGCCGCGGUAAAACGUAGGAGGCGAGCGUUAUCCGGAUUUACUGGGCGUAAAGCGCGCGCAGGCGGUUCCGUUAGUCGGACGUGAAAGCUCCUGGCUUAACUGGGAGAGGCCGUUCGAUACUGCGGGACUUGAGGUUGGGAGAGGAGUGUGGAAUUCCCGGUGUAGUGGUGGAAUGCGUAGAGAUCGGGAGGAACACCUGUGGCGAAAGCGGCACUCUGGCCCACACCUGACGCUGAGGUGCGAAAGCGUGGGUAGCAAACAGG